UUGCGGACACAUCACGUUGAAACACCGGUCCCCGUACGAUCACCAAAGUUAAGCAACGUCGAGCCAGGUCAGUACCUAGAUGGGUGAACUCUUGGGAAUACCAGAUGUUGCAGG